rnacentral:lncRNA from 1 species
GGGUCGUCUGCUGGAGGCUUUACUGGCAGCACUUCUCAACUUUAUUGCGGAUCACAUGUUGAACUCAGGACAUCAAACUCGUUUCAACACUUCACGGUGGACAUUAACGGUCUCCAUGGAGCAGGCGGCGAGACGUCAGUGCUGAGGGUUACAUUCGCUCGUAUCAAACACUGCAUCCCCCAAUAGAAAACACCUGACACAAAGAAUAAGCUACAUAAUGAAUGAUUCAAUCUGUUUCCAUUGAACUUGUGGUGGGGCUGCAGCUUUGGUCUGGUCUCGUAGCACCUCACAUAACAAAACUAACAAACAUCCAGUGUGCAACAUUCAGGAACGUUUCAAGUAAUAAAUCUUCAUGAGCGUCAGAGUUAAGGCAUCGUCUUGAAUUAAACAAAACUCUAAAUGGACGUGAAGGAUGACGGGCGACGGGAGCAGGGCUCCUCACUGGUACCCGGCGUUGGUCCGGCGCCUCUUCCUGGCUCGCAGCUCGUCGAAGAACUGAUGCACGGCUUCCUCCGUCACCGUCUGGAGGGGAAAGCUUCGGUCAGGAGGGAAAACUUGGUUUAAAGGAAGACGGGAGCGUCCGCCGCCGCUCACCUUCCCCUCAGAGACGCACUGCUGGAAGAAGUCCGUGAUGGAGGCGGUCAGCUCGUUGAAACCUGGGGGGAGGAGGCAGAGGAUUAGAGCACCGCGGCGGCGGCGCCAGGGCUUAACGCCGCCGUCGAGUCGCCGCUCACCGUAGAUGAGCUCCAGCUGCUGCACGCGGCUCAGGGAGCCCGUCAGCGCCACCAGGGGGUGCUGUCCGAACGGCUGGUCCAGGCCCCUCUGCUCGUAGGCCAGCACGGUGUCGGACUGGUCCAUCAGGAAGUGCACCGCCGCCGCCACGUACGCCUUCUGCAGGGCGGGAAAACCGUCAGAGACCGCAGCGCCGCCGUCCAACCUGCGGGGCGGGACCCACUCGGCGUACCUUGCAGCCGGUGCAGGUGCAGAGCUGGGAGCGCCAGCCGUAGGGCCAGAAGACGGCCCCCCUCCUGGACCUCUGCGGCGCCGCCGCCGCCGCCCUCUGCAGCUCCUCCAGCCGGCACGCCCCGGCCGCACCGCCGCUCAUUUCCUGCCCGUCAGACAGGAGAGGAGCGUCUCACCUGCUGCUGCUCGCUGCUGGACGCUUCUUCCUCCCUGCUCUGGCUGGACUCGCAGUCUUCUGUCUGGACGUCCACCUCCUCCACCUGCUCCUCCUCCUCCUCCUCCUCCUCACGGUGGCUGACGUUGACCACAGGGGGAACUGUGCAGGUCAGAGUCAUAUUUAAUUGUUUCAGCUGCAUCUUCAUUGCAAAAAUCCAAAUUUACCACAGAAUGAAAUCACUCAGAUUUCGUCCCACUGAGGCAGAUGUUCUUUCUCUAGACUGGACUCAGUAAACCGAUUUUCUUCUCAUCGUGUAUAAACAUAUAAAACCAACCAGCAUCCAGAUGGAUUUCUUUUCCCAGACAGACGGUUCCUCCGGUGUGUAAAGUCUUUCCACUGUUCUGAACCCUGUUCUCGGGUUUACCUGCGUAGUGAGCGGCGUACGUCCACAGGAAGGGCGCCUUGUUCAUGCAGGCCUCGCACACCAUCUCCUGCAGCUCCUCCGGCUCCUCCAUGCUGCAGCCCAGGUGCUGUGGGACGGGAGAGCGGUGAGCGGGGGGGGGGGGGGGGGGGGGGGGGGGCGGGCGGGGGGGGGGGGGGGGGGGGGGGGGGCGUCUGGAGGACAGCGGGGGUCAGGGGGCGUCUUACCCUGCUGUGGAACCAGUCCUCACACACAACGCACUGGAUCAUCUCGUCGUCGUCCUGCAGGAGAGACAGAUGACCUGGUCAGCCGUGAAGCUCGGGGUUUGGAUCGCUGAGGUUUCGCGUCUUUACCUGGUCCUCGGUGUCGGGGUACGGACG